rnacentral:rRNA from 1 species
UACAGAGGUCUCAAGCGUUGUUCGGAUUCAUUGGGCGUAAAGGGUGCGUAGGCGGCGCGGUAAGUCGGAUGUGAAAUCUCGGAGCUUAACUUCGAAACUGCAUUCGAUACUGCCGUGCUUGAGGACUGGAGAGGAGACUGGAAUUUACGGUGUAGCGGUGAAAUGCGUAGAUAUCGUAAGGAAGACCAGUGGCGAAGGCGGGUCUCUGGACAGUUCCUGACGCUGAGACGCGAAAGCGUGGGGAGCAAACAGG